rnacentral:rRNA from 1 species
UACGGAGGGUGCGAGCGUUGUCCGGAUUUAUUGGGUUUAAAGGGUGCGUAGGCGGCCCGUUAAGUCAGCGGUGAAAGUCUGUGGCUCAACCAUGGAACUGCCGUUGAUACUGGCGGGCUUGAGUGCCGGUGGGGUACAUGGAAUUGGUGGUGUAGCGGUGAAAUGCAUAGAUACCAUCAGGAACACCGAUAGCGUAGGCAUUGUACUUACCGGCAACUGACGCUGAGGCACGAAAGCGCGGGUAUCGAACAGG